UGAAGGUCACCGCUUAGUCAUCCAACCGGAUGAACCGGGGACCCACCGGUUUCGGACAUCGCCAGCGAUGGCCGAAUUGGGGUGAAUCGUCACCGUCCCACCGGACGAGACGUAGGGCAAUUUCUUCCGCCCGAACCCGACAGCUAACUCGGUAGGCGGUUCAGGGAGAAGUA
rnacentral:sRNA from 2 species